rnacentral:sRNA from 1 species
AUAAUAACGAUAAGGGUGACCGCAAGGUCACCCGUUUUUUUGUCUUGUUUAACGUUCAUUGGUUUGGCCGCCGACAAGUUAAGCAAGCCAUUCUGGUGUUACGUAUAGCUGGCUGUUACCAGGAUUCCUUACUAUCACGAAUAACAGUUUCUUGUAACCAGAGCCCGGGCAGUCGCCCGGGCUUUUUCUU